UACGUAGGGUGCGAGCGUUGUCCGGAAUUAUUGGGCGUAAAGAGCUCGUAGGCGGUCUGUCGCGUCUGCUGUGAAAACCCGAGGCUCAACCUCGGGCCUGCAGUGGGUACGGGCAGACUAGAGUGCGGUAGGGGAGACUGGAAUUCCUGGUGUAGCGGUGGAAUGCGCAGAUAUCAGGAGGAACACCGAUGGCGAAGGCAGAUCUCUGGGCCGUAACUGACGCUGAGGAGCGAAAGCGUGGGGAGCGAACAGG
rnacentral:rRNA from 1 species